rnacentral:rRNA from 1 species
CCUACGGGUGGCUGCAGUGAGGAAUAUUGCGCAAUGGCCGAAAGGCUGACGCAGCGACGCCGCGUGAGGGAUGAAGUCCGUUAGGAUGUAAACCUCUUUUGCAGGGGAUGAAUGUCUCGCUAUACGCGGGAUUGACCGUACCCUGCGAAUAAGGAUCGGCUAACUACGUGCCAGCAGCCGCGGUAAUACGUAGGAUCCGAGGGUUUUCCGGAAUUACUGGGGGGAGUAGGUGGGUUGGUGGGUUGGUGGUGAAAUCCCGCAGCUUAACUGCGGAAUUGCCUUCGAUACUGGGGAUCUUGAGUACGGCAGAGGGAGAUGGAAUUCAUGGUGUAGCGGUGAAAUGUGUAGAUAUCAUGAAGAACACCGGUAGCGAAGGCGGUCUCCUGGUCCGUAACUGACACUGAUGCGCGAAAGCGUGGGGAGCGAACAGGAUUAGAUACCCCAGUAGUC